CCUACGGGGCGCUGCAGUGGGGAAUAUUGGACAAUGGGCGAAAGCCUGAUCCAGCCAUGCCGCGUGUGUGAAGAAGGCCUUCGGGUUGUAAAGCACUUUCAGUGGGGAAGAAAGCCUUGGGGCUAAUACCCUCGAGGAAGGACAUCACCCACAGAAGAAGCACCGGCUAACUCCGUGCCAGCAGCCGCGGUAAUACGGAGGGUGCGAGCGUUAAUCGGAAUUACUGGGCGUAAAGCGCGCGUAGGCGGUCUGAUAAGCCGGUUGUGAAAGCCCCGGGCUCAACCUGGGAACGGCAUCCGGAACUGUCAGGCUAGAGUGCAGGAGAGGAAGGUAGAAUUCCCGGUGUAGCGGUGAAAUGCGUAGAGAGCGGGAGGAAUACCAGUGGCGAAGGCGGCCUUCUGGACUGACACUGACGCUGAGGUGCGAAAGCGUGGGUAGCAAACAGGAUUAGAUACCCGAGUAGUC
rnacentral:rRNA from 1 species